rnacentral:lncRNA from 1 species
CAAAAUCAAUGGUAAAUGCUGCUACUUUUCAUUCUUCUAAAUGUGCCCUUGGGUAUUGCUAAAAUGUCAGUUACCAUUGAAAAUAAUAUUUUACAUUUGUCCAACUGAAAGGAUCAUCCAAAUUUUAACACAUUCGCUUUUUUAAAAAUAAGGUAUUUGCAGAUUUUGUUAUUUUAAAAUUCCCUGUACAGUGGAGAAAGCAGAUAUUCAAAAGGUUAAUUUUAACACUACUCAUUCAGUAAGUGGUAAAUGGAAAUUCAACCACAGUCCUUCUGAUUCAAUGUCCAUUAAAUACUCUGCUAAAUUCAGUGGUCUUUUGAAUGUAGCACAGUUUUACGACCUAUGAUGUGACUAAAUGAGAAAUCAGAGCCAUGAAACAUGAACAAAAAUCAAGAAGAACAGAAUCUGCAAUCAAUUUGGGAAAGAUGUUAAAAGUAAAAUAACUACUGAUGGAAGGAUUUGAAAUUGCUUUGAAAAAAUGGAAGCCAGCAUUUCUUAAUCAAUCUUGGGAUAGUUGGACACCUGAUUUAAAAGGACGACUGAUUGACUUCAGAAUCUGGAAAGGGAGAAAAAGAACAACAGCAACAACAACAAAAGCAGCCUCCUGCCUGAGAAGUCUCUUGUAAAUAAGAAGUGGAAAAGAACAGAAGAAAAGCAGGAAUGACAAGAUCAAGUUCCAAAAAGGCUUGAAUACAUGGGAAUUUAUUAUUAGCUACCUUGAUCUGCAAAAACAGAGAGGAUAUAUGCUUCCAGAAAGAGAAAAUGACUGAUUUUAUAAGAGGAAUUUAGCUGCUUGAGCUCAGUAUAUCACCUCCAUUUAUUCUCAGCAUGCCAUCAGCAAAUAGCUAUCUGUUCUCAAAGGAAGUAAUAACUUGAAAGUAAUCUUCAUAAACUUUUUUUAUGCUAUUCUAUGCUAUGUGAUGUAAAGGUACUUUAAAGGAAUAAGGUGGCAUGAGAAAAGAAUAUUUAGGGAUAUCAGAAAACUAUCCCAAGAAACGGAAAAUUGUCAAGAAAUAAUUCUAUAGAUUCUCAAAGAAACUAAUGGCAAGAUGGUUUUAUUAAAAAAAGAUGAAAGUAGAGCUACCAAGCAAAGAGAAUCUAGGAAACAAACAUAUAAAUGCAAUUUUAUUAACUUACAGCCAUUAUGAAGCCUCCACAAGAAAGAAAAAUACAACUGAAGCCUUGCUAGGAAAAUUGAAGUCAAUCUUGAAGGAAAUACAAAGGUAAAUGAAAGUAAAAUAAAUUAUCAAAUAUAAAUAUGAAAUAAGUCUAAAAGAGGGUAACUACAUGCACAAAACUUAUUCAAUCUUCUAUUCACUGUGCAUUUAUUGGACAACUAUUAUGUGUCAGUCAUUGUUCCCAGUACUUGAAUACAAAAAUUUCUGUUCUCAUAUUGCUUGCAGUGUAGUAGAGAAUGGAGUAUUCUAGGUUUGGAGAUGGGAGGAAUGGCUAACACUUGAGUUCUCAUGUGCCAGGAGCUAUUCUAAGAUUUGUACACAUAAUUUUCACAUAAACUCACAAAGCUGUAUAUUAUUGUUCCCACUUUACAAAUCAAGAAAGUGAAAUUCAAGAAAUUUAAGUAACCUGUCCAAGGUUAUAGAGACAGGAUUCAAAUCUAAAGCUAUCUGUUUCUGUUGUCCAAAUCCCUAGCCAUUAAUAUGAUACAGCACCCUUCUAAGAGCAGAAAGAAACAAAUGAAUAUGGGGCGACUGUUUAAUAAAAGAGUAAAGGAGAUUACAGAGAGGAAUGUAAAUAACAU